GCAUCCAACACCCAUGUCAUGUAGUUCUUGCCCGAAAUUUCAAGGGCAACAAACUUUCUUUUCAUAAUGUCAGACAUAAUUAAAACUAAAUUAGGAGGAUAAAAAAUACCUUAAUUUUCUCAAAGAGAUUCUUGAGAUAGUAGAGAUUCGUGCAGAUAACGUGUUACAAAACUUAGCUCAAAGUAAUAAACAAAAAGAUAGACAACAAAGUAGAGAGNN
rnacentral:lncRNA from 1 species